GAUGAACGCUAGCGGCAGGCUUAACACAUGCAAGUCGAGGGGUAGAAGUUGCUUGCAACUUUGAGACCGGCGCACGGGUGCGUAACGCGUAUGCAAUCUACCUUAUACAGAGGGAUAGCCCAGAGAAAUUUGGAUUAAUACCUCAUAGUAUAAUUGAAUGGCAUCAUUUAAUUAUUAAAGUUCCAACGGUAUAAGAUGAGCAUGCGUCCUAUUAGCUAGAUGGUAAGGUAACGGCUUACCAUGGCAACGAUAGGUAGGGGUCCUGAGAGGGAGAUCCCCCACACUGGUACUGAGACACGGACCAGACUCCUACGGGAGGCAGCAGUGAGGGAUAUUGGACAAUGGGCGCAAGCCUGAUCCAGCCAUGCCGCGUGCAGGAAGAAGCAUCUAUGGUGUGUAAACUGCUUUUGUACGGGAAGAAACACCCCUUCGUGAAGGGACUUGACGGUACCGUAAGAAUAAGGAUCGGCUAACUCCGUGCCAGCCGCCGCCGUAAUAC
rnacentral:rRNA from 1 species